UUAGAGUUUGAUCAUGGCUCAGGACGAACGCUGGCGGCGCGCUUAACACAUGCAAGUCGAGCGAGAAUCAGACCUUCGGGUCUGAGGAAAGCGGCGAACGGGUGAGUAACACGUGGGCAACCCACCCUUGGUACCGGGAUAGCCCGGGGAAACCCGGAUUAAUACCGGAUGGCCCAACAGCUCUUCGGGGCGGUUGGAAAAGAUAGCUUCGGCCUUCGACCAAGGACGGGCCCGCGGCGGAUUAGCUUGUUGGUGAGGUAACGGCCCACCAAGGCGACGAUCCGUAGCUGGUCUGAGAGGACGAUCAGCCACACUGGGACUGAGACACGGCCCAGACUCCUACGGGAGGCAGCAGUGGGGAAUCUUGCGCAAUGGGCGAAAGCCUGACGC
rnacentral:rRNA from 1 species